GUGGGGAAUUUUGGACAAUGGGCGAAAGCCUGAUCCAGCAAUGCCGCGUGUGUGAAGAAGGCCUUCGGGUUGUAAAGCACUUUUGUCCGGAAAGAAAUCCUUUGGGUUAAUACCUCGGAGGGAUGACGGUACCGGAAGAAUAAGGACCGGCUAACUACGUGCCAGCAGCCGCGGUAAUACGUAGGGUCCGAGCGUUAAUCGGAAUUACUGGGCGUAAAGCGUGCGCAGGCGGUUUUGUAAGACAGAUGUGAAAUCCCCGGGCUUAACCUGGGAAUUGCAUUUGUGACUGCAAGGCUAGAGUGUGUCAGAGGGGGGUAGAAUUCCACGUGUAGCAGUGAAAUGCGUAGAGAUGUGGAGGAAUACCGAUGGCGAAGGCAGCCCCCUGGGAUAACACUGACGCUCAUGCACGAAAGCGUGGGGAGCAAACAGGAUUAGAAACCCCGGUAGUCC
rnacentral:rRNA from 1 species